rnacentral:rRNA from 1 species
GACGAACCGUGCGAACGUUGUUCGGAUUCACUGGGCUUAAAGGGCGCGUAGGCGGACGGUCAAGUCGGGGGUGAAAUCUUUCAGCUUAACUGGAAAAGUGCCUCCGAUACUGAUCGUCUCGAGGGAGGUAGGGGCAUGUGGAACUUCCGGUGGAGCGGUGAAAUGCGUUGAUAUCCACAGGAACUCCGGUGGCGAAGGCGGCACGCUGGACCCUCCCUGACGCUGAGGCGCGAAAGCCAGGGGAGCGAACGGG